rnacentral:rRNA from 1 species
UCCAGACUCCUACGGGAGGCAGCAGUGGGGGAUAUUGCACAAUGGGGGGAACCCUGAUGCAGCGACGCCGCGUGGGUGAAGAAGCGCCUCGGCGCGUAAAGCCCUGUCAGCAGGGAAGAAAAUGACGGUACCUGACUAAGAAGCUCCGGCUAAAUACGUGCCAGCAGCCGCGGUAAUACGUAUGGAGCAAGCGUUAUCCGGAAUUACUGGGUGUAAAGGGAGCGUAGGCGGCAAGGCAAGUCUGAUGUGAAAACCCAGGGCCCAACCCUGGGACUGCAUUGGAAACUGUAUUGCUUGAGUACCGGAGAGGCAGGCGGAAUUCCUAGUGUAGCGGUGAAAUGCGUAGAUAUUAGGAGGAACACCAGUGGCGAAGGCGGCCUGCUGGACGGUAACUGACGCUGAGGCUCGAAAGCGUGGGGAGCAAACAGGAUUAGAUACCCCCGUAA